rnacentral:rRNA from 1 species
ACUCAAAUGAAUUGACGGGGACCCGCACAAGCGGUGGAUGAUGUGGAUUAAUUCGAUGCAACGCGAAUAACCUUACCUACCCUUGACAUGUACGGAAGCCCAGCGAGAGCUGGGUGUGCCCGAAAGGGAGCCGUAACACAGGUGCUGCAUGGCUGUCGUCAGCUCGUGUCGUGAGAUGUUGGGUUAAGUCCCGCAACGAGCGCAACCCUUGUCCCUAGUUGCUACGCAAGGGCACUCUAGGGAGACUGCCGGUGACAAACCGGAGGAAGGUGGGGAUGACGUCAAGUCCUCAUGGCCCUUAUGGGUAGGGCUUCACACGUCAUACAAUGGCCGGUACAGAGGGUUGCCAAGCCGCGAGGCGGAGCCAAUCCCAGAAAGCCGGUCGUAGUCCGGAUUGCAGUCUGCAACUCGACUGCAUGAAGUCGGAAUCGCUAGUAAUCGCGGAUCAGCAUGUCGCGGUGAAUACGUUCCCGGGUCUUGUACACACCGCCCGU